UACGUAGGGUGCAAGCGUUGUCCGGAAUUAUUGGGCGUAAAGAGCUCGUAGGCGGUUUGUCGCGUCUGCUGUGAAAACUCGGGGCUUAACCCCGGGCCUGCAGUGGGUACGGGCAGACUAGAGUGCGGUAGGGGAGACUGGAAUUCCUGGUGUAGCGGUGAAAUGCGUAGAUAUCUGGAGGAACACCGGUGGCGAAGGCGGCAUCCUGGACCGGCAUUGACGCUGAGGCGCGGAAAGCCAGGGGAGCAAAGCGGG
rnacentral:rRNA from 1 species